CCAGACUCCUACGGGAGGCAGCAGUGGGGAAUAUUGCACAAUGGGGGGAACCCUGAUGCAGCGACGCCGCGUGGGUGAAGGAGCACCUCGGUGCGUAAAGCCCUAUCGGCAGGGAAGAAAAGCGAACAGGUUCGCCUGGACGGUACCUGACUAAGAAGCCCCGGCUAACUACGCGCCAGCAGCCGCGGGAAUACGUAGGGGGCAAGCGUUAUCCGGAUUCACUGGGUGUAAAGGGAGCGUAGGCGGCGGCGCAAGUCUGGAGUGAAAGCCCGGGGCCCAACCCCGGGACUGCUCUGGAAACUGCGUCGCUGGAGUACGGGAGGGGCAGGCGGAAUUCCUGGUGUAGCGGUGAAAUGCAUAGAUAUCACGCAGAACCCCGAUUGCGAAGGCAGCAUACCGGCGCCCAACUGACGCUGAAGCACGAAAGCGUGGGUAUCGAACAGGAUUAGAUACCCGAGUA
rnacentral:rRNA from 1 species